rnacentral:rRNA from 1 species
CCUACGGGAGGCAGCAGUCGAGAAUCAUUCACAAUGGGCGAAACUCUGAUGGAGCGACGCCGCGUGGGGGAAUGAAGGUCUUCGGAUUGUAAACUCCUUUCAUGUGGGAGCAAAUUAAAAAUAGAGUACCACAAUAGGAAUAGACGGCUAACUCUGUGCCAGCAGCCGCGGUAAUCCAGAGGUUUCAAGCGUUGUUCGGAAUCACUGGGCGUAAAGCGUUCGUAGGCUGUUUCGUAAGUCGUGUGUGAAAGGCGGGGGCUCAACCCGGGAACGGCACAUGAUACUGCGAGACUAGAGUAAAGAAGGGGAAACCGGAAUUCUAGGUGUAGCAGUGAAAUGCGUAGAUAUCGAGAAGAACACUAGUGGCGAAGGCGGGUUCCUGGACAUUAACUGACGCUGAGGCACGAAGGCGAGGGGAGCGAAAAGGAUUAGAUACCCUUGUAGUC